rnacentral:lncRNA from 1 species
AUGCAGGUGAAUAUAUGUCCACUUAGCAUGUUUUUGAGCAGUAAUAUGUCCCCCUUCCUCCCCCAGGACUCUCUGCCUUUUAACCCUCCCAUGCCCAGCGGAUGCACGCCUGUGAUUUCGCUGUCACACAGCUCCGAGGAGCCAAUCCCCAUAGUAACAGGGCAUCCACACGUGAAUUCAGAACUGCAGCAGGUCCCAGCACUGCAGCGCUCAGCAUGGGCAUGUAGGCAGCACCAGGGUGCAUGUGCAUAUGUGUAUAUAAAAGCAAUCCGUGCUUGCUCAGCAAAUAUCUGCACCAGGCAGGACCAUGGAUGGGCAAGGAUCGCCAUUUAUAAAACCUCAAGAGAAACAAACCCCACUUGCCCACUUGAAGACCUUCUCCUCCACUGAUACAUUCUUCAUGCUUGGAACACUGACCUCAGCAAGCCGUGUGACUGCCCAAGACAUCACUAGAUGGUUCCUUCAGUCACAUCACACUGCUUACUGGUUUUCCUAAAGGACAUGUAAACUGCUUCAAGUGAAGACGUGGUUAAACUACGA